rnacentral:lncRNA from 1 species
AAAUCUCACGUCACCGAAAAAAACAUAAAUUUCUAUCUCAUCCCUCUCUAAAAAGAGCAAAUCUCUCUCAUCGCUGCCUUGCUCCGGCGUCGCUAUAUGUGAGCUCCGGCACCGGAGGCUCCUCCAUCCUCUAUCUUUUUUUUACUCUUUGCUUCUUUGUUGUGCUUCUUCUCAUCGAUGAUAUGUCUGUAACUCUGGAUUUUGCAUCACUGGUGGCCAUCUAGAUCUGCGCCGGGGGUGAUAGAUCCGUCGUUGCUGCUUUCCUCCGAAGUUCUGACGAGUCUGCGAGGGUUGGCAGGGAAAAUGAGUCGGCUUUUUUGGAUGUAGAUCUCUUCUAUAUCUGUUUUAAACUUUUAGAUCUGGUGAUAUCUAUAGGAUUUGGAGGCUACUGUGGUUCAGCAUCAGGUUCUCUCCUCUGUUCUUUGCCUCAUCUAGUAUUCGAAGUUUGUUCUUUGUGUGGAGUGGAGUUGAAGUAAACUCGUUCUUCCUCGACUCAGCAUCCUGUCGCGGUUCUGAGUCUUAUCUAUGCUCAGGAUAGGCGGCGUUCUCCCAUCCGCGCAUACGCAGAUCAGCGGUGGUUGUGUAGCUGUUGUUUCUCUCCGAGUAUGCAUGUGUGUGUCCAAGUUUUGUGGUUUGCUUUGUCAUCUAUGGAUGUGGUGUCUUCUUCUCCAGUGACUGCUCUGUCCUUACAUGUGCUUCUCGUGUUUUUUAACUCGUGUGCUCUCGCUUUCAUUGAAAGAUUAUGAGCUCCUUCAGAUACCGCUAUGUUUGGGUGACUUGACUCUUCAUCAAUUCUUACCCGAGUUGGUGCAGAAGAGACCGGUGUAGGUUCUUUUUCCUCGGAACAAAGUGUCGCUUCUGAGGGUCCAAUGGUGUCAUUUGGUUCUUUUCACGACGAGGAGACUUGUUUGAAUUGUGGUCAUCUCAGUUCUGGAUUGGCUCAUUGUCAAUUUAGUAGCUUCUGCUACACUUUUAAAAGAAAAAUAGUACUCCCUCUGUUUCUAAAUAUAAGAUGUUUAGUUAAAAAUGCACAUAUUAAGAAAAGUUAAUUUUUGUCUAGAAAACAACAUUAGAACUAUAAAUUAAUGAUAGUCAACCAAUUACAAAAUAGAUUAUUAAAUAUGAUUGGUUAUACUGUUUUUAAUAAAGUAAAAGUUACAUAGAAAAAUGAAAACAUCUUAUAUAUUAAAAUAUUAUUUUUUUUUAAAACAUCUUACGUUUGGGAAAAGGGGAGUAAUGUACAAAAAAAAUUUUGUGGAACAAAAUUGAAACUCAGAAAAUCUUAAUUUUAUAAACUGAGGGAGUAAAGUGAUUGCAGAGUCAAUAAACAUGACUUUCGAGCCUUUGGAAAAUUAAUGCACCGACCGUUAGAACGGGAUGGGGCCCAUGGGCCGAGAGAGCGGGUGUGGGUGGACGGGGGAUUAUAAGUGGUAUCAGAGCCAGGUUAGCCAUCUCGGUUCUGACCCGAGAGGCAUCUUGAGAUCUGUCGUUGGGCGUAACGAGGACAUUGCGUUCAUUGAGAGGGGGUGAAUUAUAACAUCCCGAGUUGUGAUAUAUGGAAAAAAGGCUUAAGAUAAUUGAUUCGGCAACCUAUAUCACCAAAAUUGACUUACUUUUUCUGUCAUACAUCCGUUUAGAACUCUAGAGUUGAGCAUGCUUGAGCUGGAGUAGUGGAAGGAUGGGUGACAUAUCGGGAAGUGAUUUGCGAUACCGUGUGAGUAAGGCCAAAGCAAGGGGAAAAGUCAUGUGGUGAUUGCAGGAUCAGCAAACAUGACUUUCGGGCCUUUGGAAAAUUAAUGCACCAACCGUUGUAAGCAUGGGCAUUUUACCCGGACCCGAAGACCCAAACCGGAACCGACCCGAAAAUACAGGUUCGGGUCCGAGUCCAUGCUAAGUACCUAUUGGGUCUUUUUUUUGGACCCGCGGAUCUCGGUUCGGGACCGGGUCCUACUCGAGACCCGUUCGGAUACCCGAAGUACGUGCAAAUAAUUGUAUAUAUUAGGUAUAUUUGGGUGAUUGGGUAUAUUUUUUGUAUUUUGGAUUUUUUUAAAAGUUUCGGGUUUGGAUUUUCGGGUAUAAUUAUAGGUUUUUGGUGAAAUUUUAGAUUUUUAGAAAAUAUAAUUUGGGUAUUCAAGUAAAAUUCGGGUAUGUUUUGGGUUUUCGGGUCUGAUUUUGGAUAAAUUUUUGGGUAUUUUUGCGGUUCUUCGGGUAUUUUUAGAGUUUUCGGAUCCAGUUCGGGUAUUUUGGGUCUAUUUCGGGUCCUAAAUACCCAAACCGACCCGGAUCCGAAAUAUACCCAAAACUUUUGGGUAUUUUACGGGUAUUGAAAUUAUAGACCCGAACCGACCUGGACCCGACAAGACACGAUCCGGAACCGACCCGAAAAGUUAUAGGUACCUGUAUGGGUCUAAAUUGCUAGGAUCCGAAGGACCCGGAUCCGACAAUACCCGACCCGAAGACCCGGAUGCCCAGACCUAAACCGUUGAAAAGGAAUGAGGUCCACGGGCCGAGAGAGUGGAUGUGGGUGGCCCAUUAGCCGUGAGCUUACAUGGCGUUAUAAAAUCUUGAUUUGUUUACUCACUGAAUACACAUACAUGGAAACAUGGAAAGCUACUCCAUUUUACUAAGUAAUCAAAUCUCACGUCACCGAAAAAAACAUAAAUUUCUAUCUCAUCCCUCUCUAAAAAGAGCAAAUCUCUCUCAUCGCUGCCUUGCUCCGGCGUCGCUAUAUGUGAGCUCCGGCACCGGAGGCUCCUCCAUCCUCUAUCUUUUUUUUACUCUUUGCUUCUUUGUUGUGCUUCUUCUCAUCGAUGAUAUGUCUGUAACUCUGGAUUUUGCAUCACUGGUGGCCAUCUAGAUCUGCGCCGGGGGUGAUAGAUCCGUCGUUGCUGCUUUCCUCCGAAGUUCUGACGAGUCUGCGAGGGUUGGCAGGGAAAAUGAGUCGGCUUUUUUGGAUGUAGAUCUCUUCUAUAUCUGUUUUAAACUUUUAGAUCUGGUGAUAUCUAUAGGAUUUGGAGGCUACUGUGGUUCAGCAUCAGGUUCUCUCCUCUGUUCUUUGCCUCAUCUAGUAUUCGAAGUUUGUUCUUUGUGUGGAGUGGAGUUGAAGUAAACUCGUUCUUCCUCGACUCAGCAUCCUGUCGCGGUUCUGAGUCUUAUCUAUGCUCAGGAUAGGCGGCGUUCUCCCAUCCGCGCAUACGCAGAUCAGCGGUGGUUGUGUAGCUGUUGUUUCUCUCCGAGUAUGCAUGUGUGUGUCCAAGUUUUGUGGUUUGCUUUGUCAUCUAUGGAUGUGGUGUCUUCUUCUCCAGUGACUGCUCUGUCCUUACAUGUGCUUCUCGUGUUUUUUAACUCGUGUGCUCUCGCUUUCAUUGAAAGAUUAUGAGCUCCUUCAGAUACCGCUAUGUUUGGGUGACUUGACUCUUCAUCAAUUCUUACCCGAGUUGGUGCAGAAGAGACCGGUGUAGGUUCUUUUUCCUCGGAACAAAGUGUCGCUUCUGAGGGUCCAAUGGUGUCAUUUGGUUCUUUUCACGACGAGGAGACUUGUUUGAAUUGUGGUCAUCUCAGUUCUGGAUUGGCUCAUUGUCAAUUUAGUAGCUUCUGCUACACUUUUAAAAGAAAAAUAGUACUCCCUCUGUUUCUAAAUAUAAGAUGUUUAGUUAAAAAUGCACAUAUUAAGAAAAGUUAAUUUUUG